AUGAUGUGAGAGAAAAUAGCUUGGGCAAGUCUUCUUUUGAGUGUAAAUGAUCAUAUACAGUAUUGUAAGUGAAUGAGAGCUGCAUGGAUGCCUUUAAAUCUUACAUAAAGGACCAUGGCUUUGCGACAAUGAGAAGGUAUGUGAGAAAGUUGAGCUCUAUGACUAUAAAAGUAGCUCUUUUUGGGAGGCAACCCAUUCAUUGAGUUUUUUAUUUCUUUUAGAUAAUAAAUGCAUGGCACCACCUUAUGAUGAU
rnacentral:lncRNA from 1 species